rnacentral:rRNA from 1 species
GAUGAACGCUGGCGGCGUGCCUAACACAUGCAAGUCGAGCGGACGGACCAGAAGCUUGCUUCUCUGAUGUUAGCGGCGGACGUGUGAGUAACACGUGGAUACCCUACCUAUAAGACUGGGAUAACUUCGGGACACCGGAUCUAAUCACGGAUGAUCUUUUGAACCGCAUGGUUCAAAAGUGAAAGACGGCCUUGCUGUCACUUAUCGAUGGAUCCGCGCUGCAUUAGCUAGUUGGUAGGGUAACGGCUUACCAAGGCAACGAUGCGUAGCCGACCUGAGAGGGUGAUCGGCCACCCUGGAACUGAGACACGGUCCGGACGCCUACGGGAGGCAGCAGCAGGGAAUCUUCCGCACUGGGCGAAAGCCUGACGGAGCGACCCCGCGCGAGGGGUGAGGGUCCUGGGAGCGGAAAGCUCUGUUAUGAGGGAAGAACAUAGGUGUAAGUAACCGUGCUCAUCUUGACGGUACCUAAUAAAGAAGCAACGGCUAACUACGUG